UCUCCGUAGGUGAACCUGCGGAGGGAUCAUUACAGAGUUCAUGCCCUACCGGGUAGAUCUCCCACCCUAUGUUAUUAUUACUUUGUUGCUUUGGCGGGCCGUUAGGCUCCGGCCCGACUACCGGCCCCGGCUGGUACGCGCCCGCCAGAGGACCCAAAACCCUGAAUAUUAGUGUCGUCUGAGUACUAUAUAAUAGUUAAAACUUUCAACAACGGAUCUCUUGGUUCUG
rnacentral:misc_RNA from 1 species